GGGAGACACAAAAUCUGUAGUGUUUCUUGAAAAGGAUAUUCCCAACUUUGAUUCUAAUUGAUGCUUAACCUUUAAGGAAAUUAUUGUGUGUGCUUAUAUUUAGUGCUUAAACGGCCUCCAUUGUGUUUCUAAUGCUGGAAUUCUCGCAUCUACAUGAAAAUCUGUCCAUGAACCAAUGCUCAUGCAUAUUCACGUGCAUUGGAUUUGAGAUGUUUGC
rnacentral:misc_RNA from 1 species